rnacentral:rRNA from 1 species
AGAGUUUGAUCCUGGCUCAGGACGAACGCUGACGGUGUGCUUUAGACAUGCAAGUCGAACGAGAAAGCCCUUCGGGGUGAGUACAGUGGCGAACGGGUGAGUAACACGUGGGUAACCUGCCCCUCGCAGAGGGACAACCGGGGGAAACCCCGGCUAAUACCUCGUACGCUUGCCGGGCCGCAUGGCUCGGCAAGGAAAGGUAGCUUCGGCCAUCCGGCGAGGGAUGGGCCCGCGGUCCAUUAGCUAGUUGGUGAGGUAACGGCCCACCAAGGCGACGAUGGAUAGCUGGUCUGAGAGGACGAUCAGCCACACUGGGACUGAGACACGGCCCAGACUCCUACGGGAGGCAGCAGUCGGGAAUCUUGCGCAAUGGGCGAAAGCCUGACGCAGCAACACCGUGUGGGCGACGAAGGCCUUCGGGUCGUAAAGCCCUGUUGUUGGGGACGAAGGGCGAAGGGUUAAUAGCCCCUAGCCUGACGGUACCCUUCGAGGAAGCCCCGGCUAACUACGUGCCAGCAGCCGCGGUAAUACGUAGGGGGCGAGCGUUGUCCGGAAUUAUUGGGCGUAAAGAGCGUGUAGGCGGUUCGGUAAGUCUGCCGUGAAACCCUAGGGCUCAACCCUAGGCGUGCGGUGGAUACUGCCGGGCUAGAGGGUGGUAGAGGCGAGUGGAAUUCCCGGUGUAGCGGUGAAAUGCGCAGAUAUCGGGAGGAACACCAGUAGCGAAGGCGGCUCGCUGGGCCAUUCCUGACGCUGAGACGCGAAAGCUAGGGGAGCGAACAGGAUUAGAUACCCCCGUAGUCC